GACGAACGCUGGCGGCGUGCUUAACACAUGCAAGUCGAACGGAAAGGCCCUGCUUUUGUGGGGUGCUCGAGUGGCUAACGGGUGAGUAACACGUGAGUAACCUGCCCUUGACUUUGGGAUAACUUCAGGAAACUGGGGCUAAUACCGGAUAGGAGCUCCUGCUGCAUGGUGGGGGUUGGAAAGUUUCGGCGGUUGGGGAUGGACUCGCGGCUUAUCAGCUUGUUGGUGGGGUAGUGGCUUACCAAGGCUUUGACGGGUAGCCGGCCUGAGAGGGUGACCGGCCACAUUAGGACUGAGAUACGGCCCAGACGCCUACGGGAGGCAGCAGUGGGGAAUAUUGCACAGUGGGCGGAAGCCUGAUGCAGCAACGCCGCGUGCGGGAUGACGGCCUUCGGGUUGUAAACCGCUUUCGCCUGUGACGAAGCGUGAGUGACGGUAAUGGGUAAAGAAGCACCGGCUAACUACGUG
rnacentral:rRNA from 1 species